GACGAACGCUGGCGGCGUGCUUAAUACAUGCAAGUCAUAGGGGCUAAUUUCCUUCGGGAGAUUGGUCACUGGCGCACGGGUGCGUAACGCGUAAGUUAUCUGCCCUUGGGUCUGGCAUAACGUCGGGAAACCGGCGCUAAUUCCAGAUGAUAUCGUAAGAUCAAAGCCUUCGGGCGCCCAAGGAUGAGCUUGCGUCUGAUUAGCUUGUUGGCGGGGUAAUGGCCCACCAAGGCAACGAUCAGUAGCCGGUCUGAGAGGAUGAUCGGCCACACUUGGGACUGAGACACGGCCCAGACUCCUACGGGAGGCAGCAGUGGGGAAUCUUGCGCAAUGGGGCAACCCUGACGCAGCCAUGCCGCGUGAACGAUGAAGGCCUUAGGGUGUAAAGUUCUUUACCGUGACGAUGAUGACGUAACGGGGGAUAAGCUCCGGCUAACUUCGUGCCAGCAGCCGCGGUAAGGAUGAGACGU
rnacentral:rRNA from 1 species